AUAGCUCAGUGGUAGAAUACUUGCCUGGCAUGCAUGAGACCCUGGGUUCAAUCCCCAGU
rnacentral:tRNA from 1 species